rnacentral:rRNA from 1 species
CCUACGGGUGGCAGCAGUGAGGAAUAUUGGUCAAUGGGCGAGAGCCUGAACCAGCCAAGUCGCGUGAGGGACGACGGCCCUACGGGUUGUAAACUUCUUUUGUCGGGGGACAAACGGCCGCACGCGUGCCGUUCUGAGGGUACCCGGUGAAAAAGCAUCGGCUAACUCCGUGCCAGCAGCCGCGGUAAUACGGAGGAUGCGAGCGUUAUCCGGAUUUAUUGGGUUUAAAGGGUGCGUAGGCGGGAUGACAAGUCAGCGGUCAAAUACGGGGGCUCAACCUGCGCCCGCCGUUGAAACUGGCGUACUUGAGUGGGCGAAGGGUACGCGGAAUGCGUGGUGUAGCGGUGAAAUGCAUAGAUAUCACGCAGAACCCCGAUUGCGAAGGCAGCGUACCGGCGCCAGACUGACGCUGAGGCACGAAAGCGUGGGUAUCGAACAGGAUUAGAUACCCGGGUAGUC